AUCAGGUGUGCCCAGAUCUGCUUUGGGAUUUAAACCAUCAAGGAGCAAGGAGAACAAAUCCAGCCUUCCACGGUGCCACAGAAGAGAGAGAUACUCCAUCCCACCAGUUGUGUACGAGUGUUCCAGUUCCUUCCCAUCUUCACAAAUACUUGGGCCAGCUGAUGCAUUGCUCAUGCCAGUAAAUCCCAGACCUGGAGAAGCACCUGGAGAGUCUGGAAAAUUCACAUGGUCAGCCUCUCCCUAGACCACUGGAAUCUCCAUCUUAGAAGUUUUCCCUCAUCAACCAUGUGGGUUGCCCUGAGAUACACCUUGAAAGAAAUCACUGCCUGCCAGGGAAAAGAGGAGAAUCCAAAUGCACCAGCUGUGCUGCUUGGCGCUGCAGUCCCCGUGCACUGCUGGAUGGAGUGGCUGCUAGAUGUCACCACUCUGCAAGAAAUCAGGGACGCUUUUGAAAAAAUAUCUAUUGCAAAAAAAAAAAAAGAGAGAGAGAGAGAAAAUAUGUGUAAGUGAAAAAAAAAAGUUUCAGGAAAAAUCAUAUAUAAUCCUACUUUUCAGACAGAGUUGCUGUUAAUAAUUUAGUCAUUUCCUUCCAGACUUUCUACACAUGUAAUGAUAUGUGUUUUUUACACACAUGAGAUCUUCCUAUCUUCAGCUUUGCUGUAACCUGUUUUUCUCAUAGGAACUUUGGCAAUUUCUUCAAAGAACUGAGGCAGGAGAUAGACGGGCCCCCUCAGGGUAAGCAAUUGGAAAUUUCUUCCCUAUGGACCGAUACUCCAAGACAAGACUAGCAGGACAUCUGAGAGAGGUGGCUGGGCCCUGCCCAGAGAGACGAUAACAGACCACGUAUUUCUCAUUCUCGAAGUCAAGGAAACCCUCCCAGCCAGAAAGCUCCUUGGAGGUUGAAAAGGGAGGGCGCACCACCCCAUAGUAAGUGAUAUCAACUACCCACAGGCCUCUUCACUAGAAUCCAUCUUGGCUACGAGAUGCGUAUGCACACAUGGGGGGACCCUGAGAUGUACCAAAUACAGACUCUGAACCAGGCAACGCAAGAUGACUGGUCAAGGGAAACGCGGAAGAAAUGCCCCAUAAAAGUGAUUCAGACUACCACAAGGGCAUGACUCUCUGAAUCUGUCGUGUGUUAUCCACAUGUACUGUAUUCUUUUUCUAAUAAACACUUUA